UUGGGCUGGGUGCACCUCAUUAAACCAGCCAGAGAGACCUGGAAGCAGGGCCCGUCUGCCCUUCUGUAACAGUUGUACGAUGGAUGCAAUCAAAGGUUUCUGGAUUCCAAAGGCCCAGAGCUGCUACUUCCACGUGCCCGCAGGAUCCCGGUUAACUCCCGAGUCUCCUGUACUUGCGUAAGAGAAGGAAGGGCCUGUGCUGAAGCUGCUGCCGCCUGCCUGCGGAAAGCGCGGUGUGCACAGAUCUGCUCCUUUCUACAUGUUUAGCCUGGAGUUAUUGUCUAGAAGAUGAGGCUAAAGUGCUCACUGUUGGUAACAAGAGCUAACCUCUGGCCGACUUCAAGAUAUUUGUAAUUUCUCUGCAUGUACUUUUGCAACAAGAGAAACCACAUGGCAUAGCAUAAGGGACACUGGCUAUGUAGAUAGGAGAAAUCUGAGUUCAAAUCCUGUCUCUGACAUUUAUUAGCCUAGUGACUAUGGAGAUUAUUUAACCUUUAUGAGCCUCAAUUUCCUUCUCUGUAAAAUUGAUUUAAUGAAAGAUUUGUAAUAAGGAAAAAUGCAAUGGCUAUUU